AAAAAAAAAAAAAAAAAAAAGUUGUUCCAUGGGAAGCUCCGAGCCCCCGGCCGUGCCCCCCUCCCCGGGCCCCGCUCUGCUUUGAGUCACCUCGGCGGCGUGACGGCCGCAGCCGCGCCAAGGUCACGCUUAAAAGCAUUGGACAUGGGCGGCGCGGAGGUGGGAGCGGCGCCGCGACAGUCGCAUCGCUUUGGAGGAGUUGCGGCCAGGGCAAACCUCCCCGACGCGCCCUUCCAGCAAGGGGCUCCCACCGCCUUUCAUUAUUUGCCAAGAAACGUAAGCCCAGAGGAUGAUGAGAACAGCAGCAGGAGGUUUAUCCUUGAGAAGUGAAGGGUUUAGAGGGAUCUAAAGCAGCCAUGCAGUACCUGUGAGGAGGUGUUCGAGAAGGCAGCCAGACUCUUCAGAGCAGUGUCUGGUGAGAGGAAGAGAGACAACAGGGAUGAGAGCCUGCUGAGCCUGGCGAGGAGCUAAUUGCAGCCUGGACUGGCUGGAGAGGGCAAUACCCGGAUGGGCUCCUCGCCUUUCAGGCUGUAAUGGAGCCUGGCCAUACAAAGCACAAAGCUCCUUCCCUUCCUGUUUGCCCGGCUCCCUCCGCCAAACCUUCCCCUGCCUGCGCUCAGAGAUGUAAAUACCAGGGCACGGGAGAAUUGCUCCCUCGUGCCUGCGUCACGUCUGAAAUACCCAUUAAAAAUACACGUUCCUAAAA